rnacentral:rRNA from 1 species
UACGAAGGGGGCAAGCGUUGUCCGGAAUUAUUGGGCGUAAAGGGCUCGUAGGUGGUUUGUCGCGUCGGGAGUGAAAUCCCUGGGCUUAACCCAGGGCCUGCUUUCGAUACGGGCAGACUAGAGGCAUUCAGGGGAGAACGGAAUUCCUGGUGUAGCGGUGAAAUGCGCAGAUAUCAGGAGGAACACCGGUGGCGAAGGCGGUUCUCUGGGAAUGUUCUGACGCUGAGGAGCGAAAGUGUGGGGAGCGAACAGG